GCUGCUGUGGCUCAGCGUAGAGCAUCCUAUUCUGUUCAUUCCCCUGCAGAAGACUGUGAGGAAGGCGUGGGUUCGAAUCAACCAGCAGCG